GGGUUGCUAACUCAACGGUAGAGUACUCGGCUUUUAACCGACUAGUUCCGGGUUCGAGUC
rnacentral:tRNA from 31 species